UACGAAGGGGGCUAGCGUUGUUCGGAUUUACUGGGCGUAAAGCGCACGUAGGCGGAUCGUUAAGUCGGGGGUGAAAUCCUGGAGCUCAACUCCAGAACUGCCUUCGAUACUGGCGAUCUUGAGUCCGGAAGAGGUGAGUGGAACUCCUAGUGUAGAGGUGGAAUUCGUAGAUAUUAGGAAGAACACCAGCGGCGAAGGCGGCUCACUGGUCCGGUACUGACGCUGAGACGCGAAAGCGUGGGGAGCGAACAGG
rnacentral:rRNA from 1 species